AUUGAACGCUGGCGGCAGGCCUAACACAUGCAAGUCGAGCGGAUGAGAGGAGCUUGCUUCUCGAUUCAGCGGCGGACGGGUGAGUAAUGCCUAGGAAUCUGCCUGGUAGUGGGGGACAACGUUUCGAAAGGAACGCUAAUACCGCAUACGUCCUACGGGAGAAAGCAGGGGACCUUCGGGCCUUGCGCUAACAGAUGAGCCUAGGUCGGAUUAGCUAGUUGGUGAGGUAAUGGCUCACCAAGGCGACGAUCCGUAACUGGUCUGAGAGGAUGAUCAGUCACACUGGAACUGAGACACGGUCCAGACUCCUACGGGAGGCAGCAGUGGGGAAUAUUGGACAAUGGGCGAAAGCCUGAUCCAGCCAUGCCGCGUGUGUGAAGAAGGUCUUCGGAUUGUAAAGCACUUUAAGUUGGGAGGAAGGGUUGUAGAUUAAUACUCUGCAAUUUUGACGUUGCCGACAGAAUAAGCACCGGCUAACUCUGUGCCAGCCGCCGCAGUAAAAC
rnacentral:rRNA from 1 species